AUUGAGAAGGUAAGAGAAGCCUAAAGACAGUGUUUCAUGAUGCAUGGAAAGCCUUAAAGAGGGCGUUCAAUUGAAUUUUAACAAAGGAAACAUAUGAUAUUUUUUCAUCAUCAGAAGGUAGGUUCUGUAGACUUUUUGAGGUGAUAUAGUUUCAGAAUUAGACUAGCUGAUAUCACUGAGUUCAUUGGAUUUAUCCAGUAAAUUUUCUCACAAUGAUUGUGUAACCAGGAUGAAACUCAAAAGUAUUCAGUACUUGUUACUUUUGUUCCUUUCUAGAAUCUUAUUCUAGAGAAAGUAAUCUGAA
rnacentral:misc_RNA from 1 species